rnacentral:rRNA from 1 species
AGAGUUUGAUCCUGGCUCAGGACGAACGCUGGCGGUGUGCCUCACACAUGCAAGUCGAGCGCCGUAGCAAUACGGAGCGGCAGACGGGUGAGUAACACGUGGGAACGUGCCUUCUGGUUCGGAAUAACCCAGGGAAACUUGGGCUAAUACCGAAUAAGCCCUUCGGGGGAAAGAUUUAUCGCCGGAAGAUCGGCCCGCGUAAGAUUAGCUUGUUGGUGAGGUAACGGCUCACCAAGGCUACGAUCUUUAGCUGGUUCUGAGAGGAUGAUUCAGCCACACUGGGACUGAGACACGGCCCAGACUCCUACGGGAGGCAGCAGUGGGGAAUAUUGGACAAUGGGCGCAAGCCUGAUCCAGCCAUGCCGCGUGAGUGAUGAAGGCCUUAGGGUUGUAAAGCUCUUUUAGCGGGGACGAUAAUGACG